AUACUUACCUGGCAGGGGAGAUACCAUGAUCAAGAAGGUGGUUCACCCAGGGCGAGGCUCAGCCAUUGCACACGGGCUGGGCUGAGCUGACCUCUGCGAAUUCCCCAAAUGUGGGAAUCUCGACUGCAUAAUUUGUGAUAGUGGGGGACUGCGUUCGCGCUCUCCCCUG